rnacentral:rRNA from 1 species
AAGCGUUGUUCGGAUUUACUGGGCGUAAAGGGCGCGUAGGCGGCCAGCACAAGUCAGUUGUGAAAUCUCCGAGCUUAACUCGGAAAGGUCAACUGAUACUGUGCGGCUAGAGUGCGGAAGGGGCAACUGGAAUUCUUGGUGUAGCGGUGAAAUGCGUAGAUAUCAAGAGGAACACCUGCGGCGAAGGCGGGUUGCUGGGCCGACACUGACGCUGAGGCGCGAAAGCUAGGGGAGCGAACGGGAUUAGAUACCCCGGUAGUCCUAGCCUUAAACGAUGAAUGCUUGGUGUCUGGGGUUAUAUAGUCCCCGGGUGCCGUCGCUAACGCUUUAAGCAUUCCGCCUGGGGAGUACGGUCGCAAGACUGAAACUCAAAGGAAUUGACGGA